UACGUAGGGUGCGAGCGUUAAUCGGAAUUACUGGGCGUAAAGCGUGCGCAGGCGGUUCGUUAAGUUCGUUGUGAAAGCCCCGGGCUCAACCUGGGAACUGCAUUUGUGACUGCAUCGCUGGAGUGCGGCAGAGGGGGAUGGAAUUCCGCGUGUAGCAGUGAAAUGCGUAGAUAUGCGGAGGAACACCAAUAGCGAAGGCAGCUCGCUGGGACGGUAUUGACGCUAAGGCGCGAAAGCGUGGGGAGCAAACAGG
rnacentral:rRNA from 1 species